rnacentral:rRNA from 1 species
GACGAACGCUGGCGGCGUGCUUAACACAUGCAAGUCGAACGGAAAGGCCCUGCUUUUGUGGGGUGCUCGAGUGGCGAACGGGUGAGUAACACGUGAGUAACCUGCCCUUGACUUUGGGAUAACUUCAGGAAACUGGGGCUAAUACCGGAUAGGAGCUCCUGCUGCAUGGUGGGGGUUGGAAAGUUUCGGCGGUUGGGGAUGGACUCGCGGCUUAUCAGCUUGUUGGUGGGGUAGUGGCUUACCAAGGCUUUGACGGGUAGCCGGCCUGAGAGGGUGACCGGCCACAUUGGGACUGAGAUACGGCCCAGACUCCUACGGGAGGCAGCAGUGGGGAAUAUUGCACAAUGGGCGGAAGCCUGAUGCAGCAACGCCGCGUGCGGGAUGACGGCCUUCGGUUGGUAAACCGCUUUCGCCUGUGACGAAGCGUGAGUGACGGUAAUGGGUAAAGAAACACCGGCUAACUACGU